AAUAUUUGUCAGCGCACUCUGUAAGGGCUGUCAGAAAGAUAGAAGCAGAGAUGCUAGCGAGGGAGUGAAAAUGAGAGGAACUUUGUGGAGAGGCAGAGUGAGAGAGAGUGAGAGCGAGUAAGUAGAAGGAAAGGGCAAAUGAAAAUGAGGCAGAGAGCUGAGAGAGAGAGAGAGAGAGAGAGAGAGAGAGAGAGAGAGAGAGAGAGAGAGAGAGAGAGAGAGAGAGAGAGAGAGCGAAGCACAAUGCAGGGGAAAAAACAAAGAGACGUGUGGGUUAUCAGCCCGUCUUCUGUUCGCUCAUCAGGAUCGCCGCUGGCAAAUGGGGACGGAACACUCCAGAAAAGGCGAGAGGGCGUUGUCGGGUGGCGCCACGCCCCGAAAAGUUGCCAGCAUCCCUGCGUCUGCGUUUGGGGUGGACAGCGGAGGAUGACACUGCAGACGCAGUGCGGCACAGCCAGACGGCUGCAGACGGAGGCAGAGGAGCGCACAGCUGCAUUCUCCGGACUCCGUCCUGUGCUUGCCCUGGUACCAAAAACACAAGAACAUGCCAGAUCGUUUUCUCCAGGUGGAAUGGUGGAGAUCGGAUGAGGAGGAAAGGAAAAACGGCAAAUUGCACCAAAUUUGGGAUUACGCUGACAUCUCGGAGGAAAAAUAAAGAAUUUGUGGUGUGGAAUUUUCGGCUGAUACUGCUGUGGUGGCUCAGUGGCUCGCCGCUGCACUGCCUGCAAGAAGAGAGAGGUAGAAGGAGAGCUCCCUUCGCCAUCAGGUUCUAUGGCAAAGCCGAUGAUGCUGGAGCAAGUAAUAGAACUCUAUACGCCUUUAUGUUCCAAAUGCAGUCAGACUGUGGUCUCGCCAGGCCUGUUUGCGUGGGCCGGUCCUGCUUCUCCUUCUUGUUCUGUUUCUAGAUCUUGUGGCUUCUUUCCAUACGAUUCGGUGCUCCCUGAAUGCCGAAAAGACCGAAAAGCCAGUGUGCGCACGGCGAACAGAGACAGAGUGCACAGCGCUGAGCCAGACAUGCUGACCUAAAUCAGUCCCAGCCAUGUCUGGACUCGGCUGUAGUGAGUGAGGGAGGAGAGGGGUGUAGCCAGAGCAUGAGCGUGCAAGAGAGAGUGAGUGCAAGUGAGAUAGAGAGAGGGAGAGAGAGACAUCGCUCGCUUUGCACAGCUGUAAUAUCAGC